rnacentral:pre_miRNA from 1 species
UGUAAACAUCCCCGACUGGAAGCUGUGCGAUACAGCUGAGCUUUCAGUCAGAUGUUUGCU